CCAGUUAGUGAUACUGCCUGUGACUUUCCACCCAUAUAAUCUCGUUCUAAGAGAAAAAAGAAAGUCUUUCUAUUUCCAGGCACCUCUACUUGUGCAUGCACAUGGCUUCCACAUACACACACACACACAUGCUGCCAACUUUAAGCAGCUUUUUGAUUUUGCCGGGACUUUUAACUCUCUUAGGGCUCCUUUGCACAACUGGCUUUCCUGUAUCUCUUCAUGCCGGAACCCUGCCAUAACACAUGCGGGCUUCAACGGACAUCCUUUCCUGACAUGCCAACAAAAGUUGCCCGGACUGGGUCCAAAACUGAAACAGCCCUCCUCACCUGAACCGACACGCCAGCAGCAUCUCAAACAUCCUCCAUGCCACUGACACUGCCAUUCUUCCAGAGCCUCCUUGCCUACCCCACAGUUGGUGGUGCUUCCAGGGCAAAAUCGGAGCUGAUUUCAGGGGUCCUCACGGAAGUCUUCUUCUUUUCUGUGGAUGGAAAGGCAGAAAGUAUUAAUGAUUGUAACACCCAACACCACACACAGGAGUUGCAAGCUCAUUUAUAGUUGUAUUUUGGGAUGGAAAAAGAGAGCGCACUAUCACUGCUUUAAAUGCACUGUCACGGUUCUACAAAGGGCUGGAUUUCUUGCACAUUUACGAAGAUGUGUUCCAAAGGAAGGACCACCUGCACUCACCCCUUCAGUGUCCUCUACCUCAAGUCCGCUGUUAUUUGCCUCAACCCCACAGGCUAUAGCGUGAGUUACAACCCAGCAAUAUCUGCCUUAUUCCUAGGUGAAUCAUUAAUUUCCAAUACCCAGCCAAUAAAAGAAUAUGCAUCAUAUCUUCAGAAAUCCACACUUCAAUUCACCAAGAAUACACCAACAAUAUUGUCACCUCUGCAAGAGUCAUCACUUGCCACAAGCCAGCAAAGUUUGUGUACCUCAGCCCUGGAAGAACCAUUACUUGCUGUAGAACAGCAGAUGCCAAUGUUUACUUCACCCCUGGGAAAAUCUGUGCUUGCUGUAACCCACCAAACAUCCAGCCCAGUUUCACCCCUGCAAGAGUCCACACCCUCCUCAGCUAAGCCAAUUUUGACUACACAAGCUAAUUUAAGAAAAGUUAUAGUGCAGUGUCCUUAUUGUAAGUUAGCUUUAAAUCGCAAAAAUCUUAAAAGACAUGUGGAAAGGCGGCAUAUGUCCACUUCAGGUGAUAUAACAUUAUCACAUAAUUUAGAAAGCCAUUGUAUUGAUCCUAGACAUGGCAUUUAUGCAGUUCGAAGAAAUUUUAUGCAGUUUAUGCAGAAGAGAACUUGGGGUUUGAUGCAGGACACUGUGUGUGAGCUUGAAGAAUGUGCAAUAAAUCAGGAGAUUGCAGUUGGGAGUGGACUUGUGGCAUUUCAUUGCAUCCAUUUACGCUCACUGACUAUUGCAAAACGUAGUCACCAAGGAUUCACUUGAAAAAGGAGGGUUUGACUGAGAUGGUGCAGGCAAAACGGUUUGGGGAGGCCAAAAAAAGAUUAUGUGAGAAAUUAUACCAGGAAUAUAUUGAUGAACAUACACCUCUUGAAGUCUUGGUUGACAAUGGAGAGACCUCCAAGCACUCAAUAAGGUUGGAAGGGUGCUCGUCACAUACGAUAGCAAACAAAAAAUAUGGCACUGUCCAUGUACAGGUGACAAACUGUCUUGUUUACAAAAAUAUAUUGCAAAAUAGUAUUUAUUUCAAACUAAUAGAGACCUCUUUAGGACUUUGCUAUGUAAAGACAGGACUGAGCAUCUUAAACAAUCAAAAGUGUACCCACCUGAGAGAAAUGUUGUGAAGCGAAUGUUGAAGUACAUUUUUGCCAAGAAGAAGAUCCCAGCCACCCUACCUGAACAUUGCCACAGGAAAAUAUUUGCACGGAAUGUGAAGGCCAUAUUCAUUUAAGUGAGCCAGUAUUAAUCACAAAAGUAGCAAAAAUCAUUACAUUGACCAGAGUCUUGGAAGGUGUACCAACCUGUUACAAACAGUGCCCAUCUUGUCGAAUAAUGCACCAUUAUCAGGAGUGGGAACAAGGAGCUCAUAAUUAUGAUGACCAUAUCAUUCUUGGCUUACAUUUGUGCUUGUAUUUAAGGGCCUCACUCCAGAUACACAAUGCUUUGAGCCAGAUGUUUGAGGCCAUGGAGAAAGCUAGUGGGUUCACACUCCCAAAUCAAAACUGGCUCCUUCACCAUACCUGCAUUUUGAAGCACUUACUUCUCAUGAGUAUGGGUUCUUGUGUGUUAAAUGUGGGCAUAAUCCCUCUGUUGUUAUAAUGGAUCUCCACAAAAAAGAAAUUUUUAGCA